CCAGACUCCUACGGGAGGCAGCAGUGAGGAAUAUUGCACAAUGGGCGCAAGCCUGAUGCAGCAACGCCGCGUGCGGGACGAAGGCCUUCGGGUCGUAAACCGCUUUUCUGGGGAAAGAGCAAGGACGGUACCUCAGGAAUAAGUCUCGGCUAACUACGUGCCAGCAGCCGCGGUAAAACGUAGGAGGCGAGCGUUAUCCGGAUUUACUGGGCGUAAAGCGCACGCAGGCGGCUCCGUGAGUCGGACGUGAAAGCUCUCGGCUUAACCGGGAGAGGCCGUUCGAUACUGCGGGGCUUGAGGUAGGGAGAGGAAUGCGGAAUUCCCGGUGUAGUGGUGGAAUGCGUAGAUAUCGGGAGGAACACCUGUGGCGAAAGCGGCAUUCUGGCCCUCACCUGACGCUGAGGUGCGAAAGCGUGGGUAGCAAACAGGAUUAGAUACCCUGGUAGUCCACGCCGUAAACGAUGUCAACUGGGUGUCGGUAGUUUUACACUAGCGGUGCCGAAGCUAACGCG
rnacentral:rRNA from 1 species